rnacentral:rRNA from 1 species
AUUGAACGCUGGCGGCAUGCUUUACACAUGCAAGUCGAGCGGUGACAGGCCUUCGGGUGCUGACGAGUGGCGAACGGGUGAGUAAUGCAUCGGAACGUACCCAGAGGUGGGGGAUAACGCAGCGAAAGCUGUGCUAAUACCGCAUGUGAUCUGAGGAUGAAAGCGGGGGACCGAGCAGCAAUGUUUGGCCUCGCGCCUUUGGAGCGGCCGAUGUCGGAUUAGCUAGUUGGUGGGGUAAAGGCCUACCAAGGCGACGAUCCAUAGCUGGUCUGAGAGGACGACCAGCCACACUGGGACUGAGACACGGCCCAGACUCCUACGGGAGGCAGCAGUGGGGAAUUUUGGACAAUGGGCGCAAGCCUGAUCCAGCAAUGCCGCGUGCGGGAAGAAGGCCUUCGGGUUGUAAACCGCUUUUGGCAGGAACGAAACGGUGUCCGCUAAUACCGGGCGCUAAUGACGGUACCUGCAGAAUAAGCACCGGCUAACUACGUG